rnacentral:rRNA from 1 species
ANAAUUAAAGCGAAUGGNUCAUUANAUAANUUAUCGUUUAUUUNANAUUACCUUACUACAUGGAUAACCGUGGUAAUUCUAGAGCUAAUACAUGCUGAAAAUCCCGACUUCGGAAGGGAUGUAUUUAUUAUUCAAAACCAAUGCCCUUCGGGGCUCCNAUGGUGAUUCAUGAUAACUUCUCAAAUCNCACGGCCCCGCGCCGGCAAUGGUUCUUUCAAAUUUCUUCCCUAUCUGCUUUCCAUGCUACCGUAGGGUCCUANCAUGAUUGCCACGGGUANCGGGGAAUU